UAGGGAAUAUUGGGCAAUGGAUGCAAGUCUGACCCAGCCAUGCCGCGUGCCGGAUGAAGGCCCUCAGGGUUGUAAACGGCUUUUAUUCGGGAAGAAGAGCACGGAUGCGUCUGUGUGUGACGGUACCGAAUGAAUAAGCACCGGCUAACUCCGUGCCAGCAGCCGCGGUAAUACGGAGGGUGCGAGCGUUGUCCGGAUUUAUUGGGUUUAAAGGGUGCGUAGGUGGCUUUUUAAGUCAGUGGUGAAAUACAGCCGCUCAACGGUUGAGGUGCCAUUGAUACUGAAAAGCUUGAAACAAGUGGAGGCUGCCGGAAUGGAUGGUGUAGCGGUGAAAUGCAUAGAUAUCAUCCAGAACACCGAUUGCGAAGGCAGGUGGCUACGUUUGAUUUGACACUGAGGCACGAAAGCAUGGGGAGCAAACA
rnacentral:rRNA from 1 species